UGGGGAAUAUUGCACAAUGGGCGCAAGCCUGAUGCAGCCAUGCCGCGUGUGUGAAGAAGGCCUUCGGGUUGUAAAGCACUUUCAGCGAGGAGGAAGGGCAGUGUGUUAAUAGCACAUUGCAUUGACGUUACUCGCAGAAGAAGCACCGGCUAACUCCGUGCCAGCAGCCGCGGGAAUACGGAGGGUGCAAGCGUUAAUCGGAAUUACUGGGCGUAAAGCGCACGCAGGCGGUUUGUUAAGUCAGAUGUGAAAUCCCCGCGCUUAACGUGGGAACUGCAUUUGAAACUGGCAAGCUAGAGUCUUGUAGAGGGGGGUAGAAUUCCAGGUGUAGCGGUGAAAUGCGUAGAGAUCUGGAGGAAUACCGGUGGCGAAGGCGGCCCCCUGGACAAAGACUGACGCUCAGGUGCGAAAGCGUGGGGAGCAAACA
rnacentral:rRNA from 1 species